UACGUAGGGGCCAAGCGUUGUUCGGAUUUACUGGGCGUAAAGGGCGCGUAGGCGGCGCGGUAAGUCACUUGUGAAAUCUCUGAGCUUAACUCAGAACGGCCAAGUGAUACUGCAGUGCUAGAGUGUGGAAGGGGCAAUCGGAAUUCUUGGUGUAGCGGUGAAAUGCGUAGAUAUCAAGAGGAACACCUGAGGUGAAGACGGGUUGCUGGGCCAACACUGACGCUGAUGCGCGAAAGCCAGGGGAGCAAACGGG
rnacentral:rRNA from 1 species